rnacentral:rRNA from 1 species
AUUGAACGCUGGCGGCAGGCUUAACACAUGCAAGUCGAGCGAGCGGCGGACGGGUGAGUAAUGUCUGGGAAACUGCCUGAUGGAGGGGGUUAACUACUGGAAACGGUAGCUACUACCGCAUACCAUCAGAUGUGCCCAGAUGGGAUUAGUAAGUAGGUGGGGUAAUGGCUCACUUAGGCGACGACCCCUAGCUGGUCUGAGAGGAUGACAGGCAACACUGGGACUGAAACACGGUCCAGAAUCCUACGGGAGGAGGCAGUGGGGAGGUUAGCACAAUGAGCGCAAGCCGAAUACGGCCAUGCCGCGUGGGUGAAGAAGGCCUUCGGGUUGAAAAGCACUUUCAGCGAGGAGGCGUUACUCGCAGAAGAAGCACCGGCUAACUCCGUGCCAGCCGCCGCGGUAAUAC